GAGUUUGAUUAUGGCUCAGGACGAACGCUGGCGGCGCGCUUAACACAUGCAAGUCGUGCGAUACCUCGAGCAAGUCUUACGACAAGCUCAAGGUGUAGCGGCGGACGGGUGAGUAACACGUGAGUAGCUGUCCUAAGGAGGGGGGAUAACGCCUGGAAACGGGUGCUAAAACCCCAUAUGCCUCGCAAGAGGUGAAAGUGUAGCUUGCUACAGCCUUAGGGUGUGCUCGCGGCCUAUCAGCUAGUUGGUGAGGUAACGGCUCACCAAGGCUAAGACGGGUAGCCGGCCUGAGAGGGUGUACGGCCACACUGGAAUUGAGAUACGGUCCAGACUCCUACGGGAGGCAGCAGUGGGGAAUCUUGGGCAAUGGGGCGAAAGCCUGACCCAGCGACGCCGCGUUGGGGAUGAAGCCCUUCGGGGUGUAAACCCAUGUUGUAGGGGACGAAGAAAGUGACGGUACCCUACGAGGAAGCCCCGGCUAACUACGUGCCAGCAGCCGCGGUAAGACGUAGGGGGCGAGCGUUGUCCGGAAUUACUGGGCGUAAAGGGCACGCAGGCGGUGCGCCAAGUCGAGGGUGUAAAGUUACGGCUCAACCGUGACAUUGCAAUCGAUACUGGCGCACUGGAGUGCGGGAGAGGGAAGUGGAAUUCCCGGCGUAGCGGUGAAAUGCGUAGAUAUCGGGAGGAACGCCAGUGGCGAAGGCGGCUUCCUGGCCCGCGACUGACGCUCAUGUGCGAAAGCCAGGGGAGCGAACCGGAUUAGAUACCCUGGUAGUC
rnacentral:rRNA from 1 species